rnacentral:lncRNA from 1 species
AGCAUCAUGCCAACAUGCCUCAGAUCGUAAUCUAGGGUGGAAUCUUCCGCUGAAGACUCCAAGAAGUGACAUCAUGACCCUCUUACCUUAAUCUUCAAUGGUGCGAGGGGGAGUUAUGUGCUAGAGGACCAGAAUGAUGGGACCAUCCAAAAGGGUGUACUCGCUUGGGAGUCCGAAGGCGAGACAGCAAAUUGUGAUGAGACUAAGC